rnacentral:rRNA from 1 species
GUUGAACGCUGGCGGUAUGCUUAAGACAUGCAAGUCGAACGGCAGCAUGGGGAGCUUGCUCCCUGAUGGCGAGUGGCGGACGGGUGAGUAACACGUGGAAAUCUACCCAGUAGCGGGGGAUAAGUCAGAGACAUUUGAUCUAAUACCGCAUACGUCCUACGGGAGAAAGGCUUCGGCCACUAUUGGAUGAGUCCGCGUUAGAUUAGCUAGAUGGUGAGGUAAAGGCUCACCAUGGCGACGAUCUAUAGCUGGGUCUGAGAGGAUGAUCAGCCACAUUGGGACUGAGACACGGCCCAGACUCCUACGGGAGGCAGCAGUCGGGAAUAUUGGACAAUGGGGGAAACCCUGAUCCAGACAAUACCGCGUGUGUGAAGAAGGCCUGCGGGUU